CCUGACAUUUCUUUAAUAAGCAUAUUGUGGGGUGCUAAAUGUACAUUUAAAUCAUGAAAUAACUUGCUGAAUGUUACAGGUGGGAAAUUGCUAGGUCCCAGUUUAAGAAAUGCUGGAGUUCCCUUAUUUUUUUUAUCCAAUAAAAUCUGGCAACAACUGGUUUGUUAGUGAACUGAAGCACAGAUCAGAUGUGAAUUGCAAGUAACUGUGGAGUCCAAGAAAUCUUUAUAUUCCUAAGAAGCUGAGCAAGGUGAACAGAACUGGUAUGCAGAAAAUACUGCUGUGGCCCUUGAACAUAAGUCUAUGGAAAAUGCAGACUUGCCCAAAAUUCUCACAGAAGAGGAGCAGAAGCCUGGACAGCACAAGGCAAGAAAAAGGCUAGCAGACCUCAAAGUGACUGAAAAUACAAGAUUCCAGGAAAAAGGUGGUAGAAGUUUGUAACUUUGUUACUGUGGUCUCCACAUGGGAUAUGUUGGGAAACUGCACAGAAGCUUUGAGGUACAUUGUGCACCAGCCAUCAGGUAGACACAAG
rnacentral:lncRNA from 1 species